GACUUGCCGAUCAGCCAGCCACUGCAUUAUUGAAAAUAAACGAUUCGCUGGAACAACUCCAUAAGAAAACAGAUGCGAUAAAUGUGAAAUUGGAUGUUGCAAAUAUUGAAACUGAUUUAAUUGUAGAAAGUUUAAAUAAUUUGGGACAAAAGGUGAAUACCAAUUCAGAAACCACCCAGAAACUGAUACAGGAAUCUACUCUGAUACGGCAAACUGCAGAUGAAGUCAGGGAAAAAACCCUUGCUGCUGAAUUUAAAGUAAUACAACUGGAGAGGAGCGUCCCAUCCAUACAAAGACAACUUGAUGAACAUAAGCUGACAUUCGUUAUGAUUGAACUUAAAGAAGAACGGAUGAAUUUGAGGACCAGAGCCCUAUCUGAAUUGGAAAAGGAAAGCCUGACAGAGUUUCAGGAGGUGACAGGACUAACAUUGGUUGAGAAGGAGAGGUAUUUGGGGGUUAGUAUGACCGCCAAAAAUGUGAAUCUGCUUAAGGACAACUGUGAAGGAUGUUGGAUUGAAGAGAAGGGGGAUUUGGAUAUAUGGACAAAUCAGAAGUUGUUACUGUUGGGCCGAGUCAUUGUGGUGGGGAUGAGGGCUGCUGUGUUGCUGGGGAUGUUGCUUUUGUUUCAAACAUUGCAAGCUCUGGAUGGGAUGGAGGGUCUCAGGAGGUGGCAGAGGGAUGCUCCUAGAGUUGUUUGGCAGGGCAGGAAGCUUCGAGUCAAACUUAAGAUAUUGAUGGCUGCUAAAGAAGGAGGUGGACCUGCCCGCCAGACCUUUAAACUUCGUUGUGAACCAUCUGCCUUUUGCUGGUUGAGAGAAUGGUUGCUUCUUGAAAACACUGAAGUGUUGGACAAUGGCAGACGAAGUUGAUGGACUAUAGGGAAUUGGCGGAAAUGACUGGCAAGAUCCGAGACCAGGGUGAAGAGUCGGUGGAAGAAGAUUGGAAAAAGUUUAAAGACUAUUUAUAGAAAUAUUGUAAAAUUAAGGAAUGUUAGAAAAAUGUUGGAAUGAAAUUACAUGGCUUUAGUAGAAAUGUCAUAAGGAAUUAAGUAUAAAUAGAUUAAUAGAAAAUUAAAGGAAAAGUAUGGCAAGAAUGUGUUAAGAUAAUUAUACAACAGAAAACAGAGUAAGAUGGAAAGGAAUUGCUGAUACAAAUAAUAGAAGUGGAAUACAAAAAGGGAGGUGUGAGGAAGUCGCUGGAAAUAAGUGAAUGAAAUAUAAGAUAUUGAAAAUGUUUGAGGUGUUUUUAAAUUGUUUUUGUUUGUUUUUGCUUGAUUUGUUAAUUCAUGUAGCGUUUUUGUAUUGUAUUCGUAUUGGUUUUUUUUUCUUUUUCUUCUUUUUCUUUUUGUUUGUAGUGCUGUGUUGGAAAUUUUG